rnacentral:rRNA from 1 species
GACGAACGCUGGCGGCGUGCUUAACACAUGCAAGUCGAACGAAGAGCGAUGGAAGCUUGCUUCUAUCAAUCUUAGUGGCGAACGGGUGAGUAACGCGUAAUCAACCUGCCCUUCAGAGGGGGACAACAGUUGGAAACGACUGCUAAUACCGCAUACGAUCCAAUCUCGGCAUCGAGGAUGGAUGAAAGGUGGCCUCUAUUUAUAAGCUAUCACUGAAGGAGGGGAUUGCGUCUGAUUAGCUAGUUGGAGGGGUAACGGCCCACCAAGGCGAUGAUCAGUAGCCGGUCUGAGAGGAUGAACGGCCACAUUGGGACUGAGACACGGCCCAGACUCCUACGGGAGGCAGCAGUGGGGAAUCUUCCGCAAUGGACGAAAGUCUGACGGAGCAACGCCGCGUGAGUGAUGACGGCCUUCGGGUUGUAAAGCUCUGUUAAUCGGGACGGGAAAGGCCUUUCUUGCU